GAGAUAAUAUAUUAACAUAUUCAACGACAACUUGAAUAAAGUUUAAUGGCAACUGAAUAUAUUUCGAAAAGUUCAGUGUAAUUUAAAAAUAAAAUUAAAAUUAAAGUUCAACUAUAACGGAUAAACAUUUGUGAAAGCUCUAUAGCAAGAUGGAUAUUUAACCUGAAAGUCCACAAGAAGUUCCAAUACUGUAAUUGCCAUCCUUUUAACCCCACAGAAAAUAAACAAAAUAAAAUCAUCGGUAUAAUCUUUCGCACAUUUGCUAGUUAGAUGGCAAUCACAUGAUUUUAAAAGGAUUUAUCGGCAUGGAACCCAAAGAAAUGAGGAAAUUGGAUCCAUUAUUACCAGGGACAUCUGUAAAGAAUAAAUGCUCAGAUACUUGUGCAAUGUCUAAAAUAGUGACAAAAGAAUUUCAAUCAAAUUUGCUUAUCUGUUGGAGCUGUAAUGCCUUCAAAAGCGCUGGCUCGAGUCAUGUAGGUGCAUUACUCGACCUCGUGUCUCCUCCUAUGUAUGUGUAGAGUCAGAAUNGUCGGCGUACGAAGAAUUGAG
rnacentral:lncRNA from 1 species